UGCUCAGACUUCCCCAGGAGCACAGUAACUGUUGAAGUAAUUUGGAGGCCAGUCCACCCUAUCAAGCUUAGUCAAAGUUAAAACAUCAGGUUUAUCUCCAUCCUCUGCAGAGCAGUCUGUCUCCCUCCAGUAUUCCUGCUGAUGCAGCUGUAAGAGGGUUUGGCAAUGCUGGUAUGCAGACUCACCGUCUAGCCCCCGGCAAUAAAGGUGAUUUCUGGGCUAAGGAAG